rnacentral:lncRNA from 1 species
CGGGGGUAUACCUCAAGGGUACAGGGGACCUACGUAUUUUCAGCCGAUUCCACCAAAUCAGACUUAUCAGGCUUCACAGCCGAUCCAAUCCUCAGUCGGAGGAUCUGGUGCUUUUACGUCAUCAACUCCUUUGGGAUACGGCUCCAUCCAGCCGUCCUCUGCACCACUCCCUCCAGUCAUCCCUUUACCCUGGGGGGCACCCAUACACACGACCGGUUUGAA